AAAGUUUAAAUUUAGUUUAUAUCAGAUUACCAAAAUAUGCUUUCGGUAAGGUUAGAUUCUCAUGCUUGGAGAGAGUGGGUCUGUAAUGAAAGCAAACAGGGCGAGAAAUAAUCCCAUUACAGAUGAACUCUUCACUUGAACCUCAAACAUUUGGGAACCAUAAUAACACCAUCUCAGCAGGAAGAUAAAGGCUGGACAGGCAGGAGCUGGGAAGGAAGACCCUGGUGGUAGUAUCCCUCUGCCAGAGACCAGAGAGAAAAGUCAGAGGUUUCAGCUGCAAAGACCAACUCUCUAAUACCUGGGAUGAUAGCAACUGACUGUGUGUUUUGAUGGGGGUGAGUUGACCUGGAGUUGGGGGUGGCUGUGGGAACUGACCGUGGCUGGGCCCCAGUGUGAAUACUGUUCUUGUGACCCUAGAAGUGAGUCUUUCAGGCUUGUGCUUCCCUGGUGGGGCUCCCAGACAUGCAGAGAGCCUGCCUUUGGCUCAGUAUUUUGGGGCAGAGGGUGGUCUGGUUGUGAAUCAUUCCCUAGAGAACCAGGCUCUUAAAGGGAAACCAAAAUGAGUCCCUUGCAGAGGCGGUUUUCAGACUGAUGUGCAAACUCUUUUUACCAGUGCCACCUUCUGAAGAGUAGGAAGUUUCCCAGGCAGAGCUUGGGUUCUCCUUACCUCAUUCAGAUCCAAAGAUCUUUUGUUUAUGCCGUCAUUAUCUCUCGCACGGCCCUAAUCCCCCAUUUAUCCAUGUCCUCCCGUUCUCAAGGCCUUAGAAGCCUCUACCAUGAAGCCCUCAUAUCUGAGGCUCAUAUCUUGUCUGCCCCUGCACCCUAUGGAUUUAAAAAAUUGUUCUCUCAAAGCAUCGUGUAUUUUGUCUCCCUUACUUGUCUGUGAACUCCUGUGUGUAGAAGCUGUGCCACUUCUCUGGCUGCUUCUUAGUGGCUAUUGACGAGUGUACGCCAUAGUAUUUAUUAAUAGUAAGCAUGCCUUGAGGUUCUGCAGCCACUUCCCCUCUACCAAUAAACUUUGUAUUUUGGUGUGACUGAAAAGUUUCCUACUUAAAAUAUUAUGAAACUAAUAUAUGUUUGCUAUAAAAAGCCAAACCCAGCAUAAAGAUGGAUAAGGAAAAAAUCAAUUAUUUUGUGAGUCCCCCUUUUCAAUCCC
rnacentral:lncRNA from 1 species